rnacentral:tRNA from 1 species
UUUUUUUAUUUCCCGGCUUAGUAUGAGAUAUAAAUAUACCUAUCGAAUCUUAGUAAUGAAUGACAGUGAAAGAAAUAAAGUUUU